UCCUGGCUCAGAAUGAACGUUGGCGGCGUGGAUUAGGCAUGCAAGUCGAGGGAGAACCCGCAAGGGGGACACCGGCGAACGGGGUAGGAUCAUCUCGGUGACGUACCCUCCGGACGGGGAUAGCCACGGGAAACUGUGGGUAAUACCCGAUGACCUGGCAGGCGAUUAGGGCUUGUCAGCAAAGGUGAGAUUCCACCGGAGGAGCGGCUGAGACGCUAUUAGCUUGUUGGUGAGGUAAUGGCUUACCAAGGCGACGAUGGCUAGGGGGUGUGAGAGCAUGGCCCCCACACUGGCACUGAGACACUGGCCAGACACCUACGGGUGGCUGCAGUCGAGAAUCUUCGGCAAUGGCGCAAGCCUGACCGAGCGACGCCGCGUGCGGGAUGAAGGUCUUCGGAUUGUAAACCGCUGUCGGAGGGGAUGAAGUGUAUGGGAGCAAUCUCCUGUAUUUGACAGAGCUCGGAGGAAGCACGGGCUAAGUUCGUG
rnacentral:rRNA from 1 species